rnacentral:SRP_RNA from 1 species
GCCGGGUGUGGUGGCACACACCUGUAAUCCCAGCUACUCAGGAGGCUGAGGCAGGAGAAUCGCUUGAACCCAGGAGGCAAAGGUUGCAGUGAGCUGAGAUUGCACCACUGCACUCCAGCCUGGGCAACAGAGUGAGACUCUGUCUCAA